AGUAAAAGAAGAGAGCAUAUCAGUACAUAGCUAGCACCGUAUCUUGUGAUGGCCGUCAGUACAACAAGUGCAUGCUUUGUAUGCUUGGCAGCCCUUAUGGUGGUGAUGGCCACUGUGAUGUUGUCCUGUGAUGCUGAUCCAAAGGAAUGGUGUGAAGGGCUUGAAGAUGGAUGCACCGAAUCCAAGUGCAAGGGUUGGUGUGCAAGCAGGGGUUACACCAAGCAAUUUCAUUGCCGGGACACUGACGAUUGUUGUUGUAGGAGGACUGCCACCAAGCCCAUGGUGGACGUUGUCCGUGGUCGUCAUUGAGCCCUUGCGAACGUUCUUUUUUUUAUUAGAUAUCUAUAACUAUAUUUAUACCUACUAAUAAAGCAAGGAUAAUUUAUAUCCAUACGUCAUGGAAAUUGUUCCUAAAGUGACAUAAAUUACGCACCAUGCCACUCGUACGUCAAAAACCGAUUUAAUUUUUUCUUAAAAGUUACCGUCCGGUGUGCAUGCUUAUUUGGUCCUAUGCCAUAUUAUAUCAACAGUCAAGCUUUAGCCGGA